UGAAUACGAGAUGCUAAGGCGUCGAAGUAGUGUAUGUCAUGCUUCCAAGAAAAGCUUGCAAUGUCAUAAAUAAAGAAUGCCUGUACCAUAACCGACACAGGUGGGUAAGUAGAGUAUACUAAGGGGCGCGAGAUAACUCUCUCUAAGGAACUCGGCAAAAUAACUCCGUAACUUCGGGAGAAGGAGUGCCUUAUUCUUAAGGUUGCAAUAACAAGAUCCAAGCAACUGUUUAUCAAAAACACAGGUCUCCGCUAAGUCGUAAGACGAUGUAUGGGGGCUGACGCCUGCCCAGUGCCAGAAGGUUAAAGAAGUCGGUUAGCAAUUGCGAAGCUGGUAACUGAAGCCCUGGUGAACGGCGGCCGUAACUAUAACGGUCCUAAGGUAGCGAAAUUCCUUGUCGGGUAAGUUCCGACCCGCACGAAAGGCGUAAUGAUUUGGAUGCUGUCUCGGAGAGGGGCUCGGUGAAAUAGACUUGUCUGUGAAGAUGCGGACUACCUGCACCAGGACAGAAAGACCCUAUGAAGCUUUACUGUAACUUGAAAUUGAAAUUGGACUUUAUUCGCGCAGUAUAGGUGGGAGGCGUUGAUUAUAAUCUUGCGGGAUUAUCGGAGCCAUCAGUGAGAUACCACUCUUCUAAUGUUAGAUUUCUAACUUUGAAUCAUUAUCUGGUCAAAGGACAAUUUCAGGCGGGCAGUUUGACUGGGGCGGUCGCCUCCUAAAUGGUAACGGAGGCGUACAAAGGUUUCCUCUGAACGGUUAGAAAUCGUAUCUAGAGUGUAAAGGCAUAAGGAAGCUUGACUGUGAGACCUACAAGUCGAGCAGGGACGAAAGUCGGUCUUAGUGAACUGACGGUACUGAGUGGAAAGGCCGUCACUCAACGGAUAAAAGUUACUCUAGGAUAACAGGCUGAUCUCCCCCAAGAGUUCACAUCGACGGGGAGGUUUGGCACCUCGAUGUCGGCUCAUCGCAUCCUGGGGCGGUAGUACGUCCCAAGGGUUGGGCUGUUCGCCCAUGAAAGCGGUACGCGAGCUGGGUUCAGAACGUCGUGAGACAGUUCGGUCCAUAUCCGGUGUAGGCGUUAGAAUAUUGAGAGGAGCCUUCUUUAGUACGAGAGGACCGAGAAGGACAUACCUCUGGUGUACCAGUUAUCGUGCCAACGGUAAACGCUGGGUAGCUAUGUAUGGAGUGGAUAACCGCUGAAAGCAUCUAAGUGGGAAGCCCACCUCAAGAUAAG
rnacentral:rRNA from 1 species